AAUUGCUAGUAAUGGCAGGUCAGCAUACUGCCGUGAAUACGUUCCCGGGCCUUGUACACACCGCCCGUCACACCAUGAGAGUUGGGGAUACCCGAAGCCUGUGAGCCAACAGUUAAAUGGGGCAGCAGUCGAAGGUAGAAUCAAUGAUUGGGGUGAAGUCGUAACAAGGUAUC
rnacentral:rRNA from 1 species